UACGUAGGGGGCAAGCGUUGUCCGGAAUUAUUGGGCGUAAAGCGCGUGUAGGCGGCCAGAUAAGUCCGCUGUGAAAUCUCGAGGCUCAACUUCGAGCUGUCGGUGGAAACUGUCUGGCUAGAGUCCGGAAGAGGAGAAUGGAAUUCCUGGUGUAGCGGUGAAAUGCGCAGAUAUCAGGAAGAACACCCGUGGCGAAAGCGGCUCUCUGGAACGGUACUGACGCUGAGACGCGAAAGCGUGGGGAGCGAACAGG
rnacentral:rRNA from 1 species